rnacentral:rRNA from 1 species
GGGUUGUGAGGUUAAGCGACUAAGCGUACACGGUGGAUGCCCUGGCAGUCAGAGGCGAUGAAGGACGUGCUAAUCUGCGAUAAGCGUCGGUAAGGUGAUAUGAACCGUUAUAACCGGCGAUUUCCGAAUGGGGAAACCCAGUGUGUUUCGACACACUAUCAUUAACUGAAUCCAUAGGUUAAUGAGGCGAACCGGGGGAACUGAAACAUCUAAGUACCCCGAGGAAAAGAAAUCAACCGAGAUUCCCCCAGUAGCGGCGAGCGAACGGGGAGCAGCCCAGAGCCUGAAUCAGUAUGUGUGUUAGUGGAAGCGUCUGGAAAGACGCGCGAUACAGGGUGACAGCCCCGUACACAAAAAUGCACAUAUUGUGAGCUCGAUGAGUAGGGCGGGACACGUGGUAUCCUGUCUGAAUAUGGGGGGACCAUCCUCCAAGGCUAAAUACUCCUGACUGACCGAUAGUGAACCAGUACCGUGAGGGAAAGGCGAAAAGAACCCCGGCGAGGGGAGUGAAAAAGAACCUGAAACCGUGUACGUACAAGCAGUGGGAGCACGCUUAGGCGUGUGACUGCGUACCUUUUGUAUAAUGGGUCAGCGACUUAUAUUCUGUAGCAAGGUUAACCGAAUAGGGGAGCCGAAGGGAAACCGAGUCUUAACUGGGCGUUAAGUUGCAGGGUAUAGACCCGAAACCCGGUGAUCUAGCCAUGGGCAGGUUGAAGGUUGGGUAACACUAACUGGAGGACCGAACCGACUAAUGUUGAAAAAUUAGCGGAUGACUUGUGGCUGGGGGUGAAAGGCCAAUCAAACCGGGAGAUAGCUGGUUCUCCCCGAAAGCUAUUUAGGUAGCGCCUCGUGAAUUCAUCUCCGGGGGUAGAGCACUGUUUCGGCAAGGGGGUCAUCCCGACUUACCAACCCGAUGCAAACUGCGAAUACCGGAGAAUGUUAUCACGGGAGACACACGGCGGGUGCUAACGUCCGUCGUGAAGAGGGAAACAACCCAGACCGCCAGCUAAGGUCCCAAAGUCAUGGUUAAGUGGGAAACGAUGUGGGAAGGCCCAGACAGCCAGGAUGUUGGCUUAGAAGCAGCCAUCAUUUAAAGAAAGCGUAAUAGCUCACUGGUCGAGUCGGCCUGCGCGGAAGAUGUAACGGGGCUAAACCAUGCACCGAAGCUGCGGCAGCGACACUAUGUGUUGUUGGGUAGGGGAGCGUUCUGUAAGCCUGUGAAGGUGUGCUGUGAGGCAUGCUGGAGGUAUCAGAAGUGCGAAUGCUGACAUAAGUAACGAUAAAGCGGGUGAAAAGCCCGCUCGCCGGAAGACCAAGGGUUCCUGUCCAACGUUAAUCGGGGCAGGGUGAGUCGACCCCUAAGGCGAGGCCGAAAGGCGUAGUCGAUGGGAAACAGGUUAAUAUUCCUGUACUUGGUGUUACUGCGAAGGGGGGACGGAGAAGGCUAUGUUGGCCGGGCGACGGUUGUCCCGGUUUAAGCGUGUAGGCUGGUUUUCCAGGCAAAUCCGGAAAAUCAAGGCUGAGGCGUGAUGACGAGGCACUACGGUGCUGAAGCAACAAAUGCCCUGCUUCCAGGAAAAGCCUCUAAGCAUCAGGUAACAUCAAAUCGUACCCCAAACCGACACAGGUGGUCAGGUAGAGAAUACCAAGGCGCUUGAGAGAACUCGGGUGAAGGAACUAGGCAAAAUGGUGCCGUAACUUCGGGAGAAGGCACGCUGAUAUGUAGGUGAAGUCCCUCGCGGAUGGAGCUGAAAUCAGUCGAAGAUACCAGCUGGCUGCAACUGUUUAUUAAAAACACAGCACUGUGCAAACACGAAAGUGGACGUAUACGGUGUGACGCCUGCCCGGUGCCGGAAGGUUAAUUGAUGGGGUUAGCCGCAAGGCGAAGCUCUUGAUCGAAGCCCCGGUAAACGGCGGCCGUAACUAUAACGGUCCUAAGGUAGCGAAAUUCCUUGUCGGGUAAGUUCCGACCUGCACGAAUGGCGUAAUGAUGGCCAGGCUGUCUCCACCCGAGACUCAGUGAAAUUGAACUCGCUGUGAAGAUGCAGUGUACCCGCGGCAAGACGGAAAGACCCCGUGAACCUUUACUAUAGCUUGACACUGAACAUUGAGCCUUGAUGUGUAGGAUAGGUGGGAGGCUUUGAAGUGUGGACGCCAGUCUGCAUGGAGCCGACCUUGAAAUACCACCCUUUAAUGUUUGAUGUUCUAACGUUGACCCGUAAUCCGGGUUGCGGACAGUGUCUGGUGGGUAGUUUGACUGGGGCGGUCUCCUCCUAAAGAGUAACGGAGGAGCACGAAGGUUGGCUAAUCCUGGUCGGACAUCAGGAGGUUAGUGCAAUGGCAUAAGCCAGCUUGACUGCGAGCGUGACGGCGCGAGCAGGUGCGAAAGCAGGUCAUAGUGAUCCGGUGGUUCUGAAUGGAAGGGCCAUCGCUCAACGGAUAAAAGGUACUCCGGGGAUAACAGGCUGAUACCGCCCAAGAGUUCAUAUCGACGGCGGUGUUUGGCACCUCGAUGUCGGCUCAUCACAUCCUGGGGCUGAAGUAGGUCCCAAGGGUAUGGCUGUUCGCCAUUUAAAGUGGUACGCGAGCUGGGUUUAGAACGUCGUGAGACAGUUCGGUCCCUAUCUGCCGUGGGCGCUGGAGAACUGAGGGGGGCUGCUCCUAGUACGAGAGGACCGGAGUGGACGCAUCACUGGUGUUCGGGUUGUCAUGCCAAUGGCACUGCCCGGUAGCUAAAUGCGGAAGAGAUAAGUGCUGAAAGCAUCUAAGCACGAAACUUGCCCCGAGAUGAGUUCUCCCUGACUCCUUGAGAGUCCUGAAGGAACGUUGAAGACGACGACGUUGAUAGGCCGGGUGUGUAAGCGCAGCGAUGCGUUGAGCUAACCGGUACUAAUGAACCGUGAGGCUUAACCUUACAACGCCGAAGGUGUUU